CCUACGGGCGGCAGCAGUGGGGAAUAUUGGACAAUGGGGGCAACCCUGAUCCAGCCAUGCCGCGUGUGUGAAGAAGGCCCUCGGGUUGUAAAGCACUUUCAGUGAGGAAGAACGCCUGGUGGUUAAUACCCAUCAGGAAAGACAUCACUCACAGAAGAAGCACCGGCUAACUCCGUGCCAGCAGCCGCGGUAAUACGGAGGGUGCGAGCGUUAAUCGGAAUUACUGGGCGUAAAGCGCGCGUAGGUGGCUUGAUAAGCCGGUUGUGAAAGCCCCGGGCUCAACCUGGGAACGGCAUCCGGAACUGUCAAGCUAGAGUGCAGGAGAGGAAGGUAGAAUUCCCGGUGUAGCGGUGAAAUGCGUAGAGAUCGGGAGGAAUACCAGUGGCGAAGGCGGCCUUCUGGACUGACACUGACACUGAGGUGCGAAAGCGUGGGUAGCAAACAGGAUUAGAUACCCCUGUAGUA
rnacentral:rRNA from 1 species